rnacentral:other from 1 species
GGACUUCUGCAAAGUUAGUGAACGGAGGCAAUUCAAUUUGAGCCAAUUCAUUUGAUUGGGAGACCAACGCAUCAACCUGAUCGGCAGGCAAACUCGUCACCGUACGAGGAGCAUAAGCCGCAGGGCUCAGGUCACCCACCUGUCUCAGGCAGGUUCAAAUGAAGCCCCGCCACGGCCAAGCGGAAGUCCC